UGGAACUAUUUAUGAUAGUAAUUGCCACACCAGGGUAACAGCCAUCUGCAAAAAAGCCAAGGUCCGAGAGGCUGUUACUGCUCUUGCGCCGUCAACAUUGACGCCAGAUAGGACCAAAAGGUGGGACGGGUGGGUAGACAACCGCUUUGACUUCUCCUACCUGCUCGACCCCAAGUCUCGGAAGACCUGGCAGGAGGCGCGAGACGACUGCGUCAGCCGCGGAGGUGACCUGCUCAGCAUCACCAACUC